UUUUGUGAACCCACAAGAUAGCCGCCACAAACUCAAAUGCUCAUAAACCCUAAUUUGUAUCUCCUCACUCCCCUUCCUUCCCUAUAUAAUCCAACCCAAUUGCACUUUCUUUCCAUCUCCCUGCUUUCGCAGCGAUCCAAAUGUCUCUUUAGGGUUUCUUCACCACGCUUCACCGUUUCGGAUCUUGAAUUCUCACAAAGUGACGAGAUGAAAACACUGGAUGUGUUUUUUGAGCAGUGGACGUUACCGUCAGGUUUCGCCGUGAGCUUAAUUUUUAAAAACGACUUCUCCUUCUUCUGAGCACUAUAGUUAUUGAUGAAAUUUGCAUAGAAUAACAACAUUCAAGUGAUUUUGGGAAUUUGUAUGAAUGUGAAUGUUUAUUUGUUCAUGGAAUUCUCUGUGAUGUUUAUAAUGUGAUAUUUGGUUAUUUACUACUUAAGAGUUAGAUUGCGUCCAUUACCAAUUCCAAGGGAUUUUAUGUUCCUCUUGGUAUAAUGGCUCGGACGCCAUAUUUAUGUUGUGGUUAUCCUGAUUGGUGGUUUUCUUAAUCCGUACCAUUUUAUCCUGGAAACGCCACAUACAUUCCUGUUUCAAGAAUUAUAUUAAUUU